CCUACGGGAGGCAGCAGUGAGGAAUAUUGGUCAAUGGACGCAAGUCUGAACCAGCCAUGCCGCGUGCAGGAAGACGGCUCUAUGAGUUGUAAACUGCUUUUGUACGAGGGUAAACGCAGAUACGCGUAUCUGUCUGAAAGUAUCUUACGAAUAAGGAUCGGCUAACUCCGUGCCAGCAGCCGCGGUAAUACGGAGGAUUCAAGCGUUAUCCGGAUUUAUUGGGUUUAAAGGGUGCGUAGGCGGUCGGAUAAGUUAGAGGUGAAAUCCCGAGGCUCAACUUCUGAAUUGCCUUUGAUACUGUCCGGCUAGAGAGUAGUUGCGGUAGGCGGAAUGUACGGUGUAGCGGUGAAAUGCUUAGAGAUCAUACAGAACACCGAUUGCGAAGGCAGCUUACCAAGCUACUUCUGACGUUGAGGCACGAAAGCGUGGGGAGCAAACAGGAUUAGAUACCCGGGUAGUC
rnacentral:rRNA from 1 species